rnacentral:rRNA from 1 species
UACGGAGGGGGCUAGCGUUGCUCGGAAUUACUGGGCGUAAAGCGUGCGUAGGUGGUUUGUUAAGUCUGCUGUGAAAGCCCCGGGCUCAACCUGGGAAUGGCAGUGGAUACUGGCAAGCUAGAGUGCGGUAGAGGGAUGUGGAAUUCCCGGUGUAGCGGUGAAAUGCGUAGAGAUCGGGAGGAACACCCGUGGCGAAGGCGGCCAUCUGGACCAGCACUGACGCUGAGGCACGAAAGCGUGGGGAGCAAACAGG